UACGUAGGGCGCAAGCGUUGUCCGGAAUUAUUGGGCGUAAAGGGCUCGUAGGCGGCCUGUCGCGUCGGGAGUGAAAGCCCACUGCUUAACGGUGGGUCUGCUUCCGGUACGGGCGGGCUGGAGUAUGGCAGGGGAGACUGGAAUUCCUGGUGUAGCGGUGGAAUGCGCAGAUAUCAGGAGGAACACCGGUGGCGAAGGCGGGUCUCUGGGCCAUUACUGACGCUGAGGAGCGAAAGCGUGGGGAGCGAACAGG
rnacentral:rRNA from 1 species